AGUGAACGCUGGCGGUAGGCCUAACACAUGCCAGUCGAACGGCAGCACAGUAAGAGCUUGCUCUUACGGGUGGCGAGUGGCGGACGGGUGAGGAAUACAUCGGAAUCUACUUUUUCGUGGGGGAUAACGUAGGGAAACUUACGCUAAUACCGCAUACGACCUACGGGUGAAAGCAGGGGAUCUUCGGACCUUGCGCGAUUGAAUGAGCCGAUGUCGGAUUAGCUAGUUGGCGGGGUAAAGGCCCACCAAGGCGACGAUCCGUAGCUGGUCUGAGAGGAUGAUCAGCCACACUGGAACUAGACACGGUCCAGACUCCUACGGGAGGCAGCAGUGGGGAAUAUUGGACAAUGGGCGCAAGCCUGAUCCAGCCAUACCGCGUGGGUGAAGAAGGCCUUCGGGUUGUAAAGCCCUUUUGUUGGGAAAGAAAAGCAGCAGGUUAAUACCCCGCUGUUCUGACGGUACCCAAAGAAUAAGCACCGGCUAACUUCGUG
rnacentral:rRNA from 1 species